UACGUAGGCAGCAAGCGUUGUUCGGAGUUACUGGGCGUAAAGCGUGUGUAGGCGGCUGCGCAAGUCGGAUGUGAAAGCCCCUGGGCUCAACCCAGGAAGUGCACCCGAAACUGCGUAGCUUGAGUCUCGGAGAGGUUGGGUGGAAUUCUCGGUGUAGAGGUGAAAUUCGUAGAUAUCGAGAGGAACACCGGUGGCGAAGGCGGCCAACUGGACGAAGACUGACGCUGAGACAGAAAGCGUGGGGAGCAAACAGG
rnacentral:rRNA from 1 species